CAUAGCCGCGGGAAUACGGAGGGUGCAAGCGUUAAUCGGAAUUACUGGGCGUAAAGCGCACGCAGGCGGUUUGUUAAGUCAGAUGUGAAAUCCCCGAGCUUAACUUGGGAACUGCAUUUGAAACUGGCAAGCUAGAGUCUUGUAGAGGGGGGUAGAAUUCCAGGUGUAGCGGUGAAAUGCGUAGAGAUCUGGAGGAAUACCGGUGGCGAAGGCGGCCCCCUGGACAAAGACUGACGCUCAGGUGCGAAAGCGUGGGGAGCAAACAGGAUUAGAUACCCCAGUAGUCCCUGUCUCUUAUACA
rnacentral:rRNA from 1 species